rnacentral:snRNA from 1 species
UUCCCAAAGUGUCUUCUUCUUC